AUGGAGUUGAUGGCCACCUCAUACUUUAAGGAGGUGUUCACGAAGGACCCAACCCUGUCACCAGAAGCGGUCCUGGAGAGGAUAGUACCGAAAGUGACACAUGAGAUGAACACAGCCUUGUGUAGACCGUUCACGGAGGAAGAGGUGUCCAAUGCGCUGUUCCAAAUUGGACCGCUAAAAGCACCAGGCACGGAUGUGUUCCCUGCUCGGUUCUAUCAGCGGAAUUGGGCAGUUAUGAAGGGUGAGAUUACAGCGGCAGUUAUGGAGUUUUUUGAAAUAGGAGUCAUGCCGGAGGGUGUGAAUGAUACGGCUAUUGUACUAAUCCCAAAGGUUUCGUUUCCUAAGGAGCUCAAGGAUUUUCGUCCAAUAAGUUUGUGUAACGUGAUCUACAAGAUUGUGUCUAAGUGUUUGGUUAACCGGCUACGGCCUCUGUUGACGGAACUAAUCUCUGAAAACCAAAGUGCUUUUAUACCGGGUCGUCUUAUCUCUGAUAACUCGAUCAUAGCUUUUGAGUGUAUCAAUCAUAUUCAGAAUCUGAAGAAUAAUAAUCCGGCUGCGUGUGCAUACAAGUUGGACUUAUCUAAGGCAUAUGACCGGGUCGAUUGGGACUUCCUAGAGAAGGCCUUGCACAGAUGGGGUUUUUCUGCAACAUGGAUUGAUUGGAUGAUGGCUUGCGUUAGAUCGGUCACAUAUUCUGUGAAGUUCAAUGGGAAGUUGCUUGAGGUUUUCUCCCCAUCUAGGGGGUUGCGACAAGGUGAUCCGUUGUCUCCAUUUCUUUUUCUUUUUGUUUGCUGA
rnacentral:rRNA from 1 species